rnacentral:rRNA from 1 species
GAUGAACGUUGGCGGUGUGCCUUAUGCAUGCAAGUCGUACGGGGUUGCGAUCUUCGGAUUGUGGCCUAGUGGCGAACGGCUGAGUAACGCGUAAGUGAUCUACCUUCAAGUUGGGGAUAACCUGCCGAAAGGCGGCCUAAUACCGAAUGUGGUGGCAAAGCGAGAGCUUUGUCAUUAAAGCCGUUAGGCGCUUGGAGAUGAGCUUGCGUCCGAUUAGCUAGUUGGCAGGGUAAUGGCCUACCAAGGCUAUGAUCGGUAGCUGGUCUGAGAGGAUGGUCAGCCAGAUAGAGACUGAGAUACGGCCCUAACUCCUACGGGAGGCAGCAGCAAGGAAUUUUGGGCAAUGAGCGAAAGCUUGACCCAGCAACACCGCGUGAGGGAAGAAGGCUUUCGAGUUGUAAACCUCUUUUCCCGGGGAAGAAUUCUGACGGUACCCGGGGAAUAAGUCUCGGCUAACUACGUGCCAGCAGCCGCGGUAAUACGUAGGAGGCGAACGUUAUCCGGAAUUACUGGGCGUAAAGCGGGAGUAGGCGGCUUUUCAAGUCAGGUGUGAAAUCUUUUGACUUAAUCAGAAGACGGCGCCUGAUACUGGAUGGCUUGAGGGCAGGAGAAGGAAAUGGAAUUCCCGGUGUAGCGGUGAAAUGCGUAGAUAUCGGGAAGAACACCAGUGGCGAAGGCGAUUUCCUAGUCUGUUUCUGACGCUGAGGACCGAAGGCAUGGGGAGUGAAGUGGAUUAGAUACCCACGUAAUCCAUGCUGUAAACGGUGGAUACUAGGUAUAGGAGGUAUCGACCCUUUCUGUGCCGAAGCUAACGCUUUAAGUAUCCCGCCUGGGGACUACGGCCGCAAGGCUAAAACUCAAAGGAAUUGACGGGGGCCCGCACAAACAGCGGAGCGUGUGGUUUAAUUCGAUGCAAAACGAAGAACCUUACCAGGGCUUGACAUGUCGGAAGUAGGAAUCUGAAAGGAGGACGACCUGUAUCCAAUCAGGAGCCGACACAGGUGCUGCAUGGCUGUCGUCAGUUCGUGCCGUGAGGUGUUGGGUUAAGUCCCAUAACGAGCGCAACCCUUGUCCUAUGUUAAAUUCUCAUAGGAGACCGCCCUGUAAGACGGGGAGGAAGGUGAGGAUGACGUCAAGUCAGCACGGCCCUUAUGUCCUGGGCUACACACACGCUACAAUGGGUGAUACAGAGGGCUGCGAAGGAGCGAUCCGGAGCUAAUCCCCAAAAUCAUCCUCAGUUCGGAUUGCAGGCUGAAACUGCCUGCAUGAAGUUGGAGUUGUUAGUAACUGCAGGUCAGCUAUACUGCAGUGAAUACGUUCUCGGGCCUUGUACACACCGCCCGUCACGUCAUGGGAGCUGGCAACACUUGAAGUCGAUGGGCUAACUUGCUAUUUUUAGUAGGAGGCAAUCGCCGAGGGUGGGGUUGGUGACUGGGACG